CCAGCCAGGACUCAAUGGAGGGACGAAGUUUGUAACCCUGGCUUAGCCUCUAUUGGAAUCACAGAGAUGUCACGGAAAGUGCAAUCGGGAAAUGGAUUGUCUCCAUCUCUGCUCAUAGAAAGCAGGGCCCAAGUGUACAGGCAGGGCGUUUGUAUUUGAAGUUGUAUUAACUAGCUCCCUCUGCAAUUCCACAUACUAAAUUAUGACGUCCUCCUCGGAGCAGCAGCAUAAUGGACAACAGACGCCUGCAGGAAGAAGGGAAGCCAAGAUGGUCAGCCACGGGGAAGCUCAUCCACGGAGGGAAAGCUCAAUCGCUGACCAUCUCGGCAAUCGGCAAUUGUCAGUUUCCGCACGAUGUUUGAAAGCUCCCACCCCUUGCUGCCGCCUCUGCUCUGCACCAUGCUUCAGCCUUCUGUAGCCCCGCCCGUCGCCCCGCCCGUCGCCUCUGACAUGUUUUGAAUCCCGGAUUUGAUAGAUGUCUGUCUGCUGCUUUUGUCUGUCUGUCAUUUGCUGCUUACUCUUUCGCUUGCUAUAUAAUGAAUAAAUUCACAUAUUGGAAACUAAA
rnacentral:lncRNA from 1 species